GACGAACGCUGGCGGCGUGCUUAACACAUGCAAGUCGAACGGAAAGGCCCCUUUGGGGGUACUCGAGUGGCGAACGGGCGAGUAACACGUGAGUAACCUGCCCUUGACUUCGGGAUAACUUCAGGAAACUGGGGCUAAUACCGGAUAGGAAUCCUUGCUGCAUGGUGGGGGUUGGAAAGCUUCGGCGGUUUUGGAUGGACUCGCGGCUUAUCAGCUUGUUGGUGGGGUAGUGGCUUACCAAGGCUUUGACGGGUAGCCGGCCUGGGAGGGCGACCGGCCACAUUGGGACUGAGAUACGGCCCAGACUCCUACGGGAGGCAGCAGGGGGGAAUAUUGCACAAUGGGCGGAAGCCUGAUGCAGGAACGCCGCGUGCGGGAUGACGGCCUUCGGGUUGUAAACCGCUUUCAGCAGGGGCGAAGCUUGUGGUGACGGUACCUGCAGAAGAAGCACCGGCUAACUACGUG
rnacentral:rRNA from 1 species